CAGUAGCCGCGGUAAUACGGAGGGGGCUAGCGUUGUUCGGAAUUACUGGGCGUAAAGCGCACGUAGGCGGCUUGGUAAGUUAGAGGUGAAAGCCUUGAGCUCAACUCCAGAAUUGCCUUUAAGACUGCCGAGCUAGCAGGUGAGAGAGGUAAGUGGAAUUCCGAGUGUAGAGGUGAAAUUCGUAGAUAUUCGGAAGAACACCAGUGGCGAAGGCGGCUUACUGGCUCAUACUGGACGCUGAGGUGCGAAAGCGUGGGGAGCAAACAGGAUUAGAUACCCCUGUAGUCCCUGUCUCUUAUAC
rnacentral:rRNA from 1 species